CCCUUAGAUGUCCGGGGCUGCACGCGCGCUACACUGAAGGAAUCAGCGUGCUAAAACCAUUGUCGAAAGGCAUUGGUAAACCCAUUAAAAUCCUACGUGAUUGGGAUCGGGAAUUGCAAUUAUUUCCCUUGAACGAGGAAUUCCCAGUAAGUGUGGGUCAUAAGCUCGCGUUGAUUACGUCCCUGCCCUUUGUACACACCGCCCGUCGCUCCUACCGAUUGAGUGUGUUGGUGAGGAGUUUGGAUUGGCCUCGGAAGGUGGUUCGCCACCGUCCGUAGCUGAGAAGUUCUCCAAACCGCCCCACUUAGAGGAAGGAGAAGUCGUAACA
rnacentral:rRNA from 1 species